UAGCCGUAAACGAUACUCGCUAGGUGUCGGCCACGGUGCGACCGUUGUCGGUGCCGUAGGGAAGCCGUGAAGCGAGCCACCUGGAAGUACGGCCGCAAGGCUGAAACUUAAAGGAAUUGGCGGGGGAGCACCACAACGGGUGGAGCUUGCGGUUUAAUUGGAUUCAACGCCGGAAAUCUUACCGGGACCGACAGCAACAUGAAGGCCAAGCUGAAGACUUUGCCGGAUUAGCUGAGAGGAGGUGCAUGGCGUAGUCG
rnacentral:rRNA from 1 species